rnacentral:rRNA from 1 species
AGAGUUUGAUCCUGGCUCAGGACAAACGCUGGCGGCGUGCAUUAAGCAUGCAAGUCGCACGGAGGGGCUUCGGCCUCUCAGUGGCAGACGGCUGAGGAAGACGGCAGGAACCUCCCCUCGGGAGGGGGAUAACCCCGCGAAAGCGGGGCUAAGACCGCGUACGCUCGCCCUGGGAAGGUCGGGGUGAGGAAAACGGCGAC